GCAAGCACCGAGGAAAUGAUGGAAAGAGAAAAGAACGGGUCGAUGGGAUGUAAGAAACUCCAGCAUAUUAAAAGUGAUUGGAACUACCAAGUGAGAACUUCAACAAAACCCUCUGUGCUACUCUAUGAUCUCACCAACAAAGAUUAAACGGCUUCGAUUUUGGUAUCAUAAGAAGAAAAAAGAUUCCGGAGGAUGUGAGCCAUGGUUCUUAUAUCAAUAUCUUCGGCAUUCAUGGAACGCUAUCAAAUUUUGAAAAAACACCAGCGGGAGAUGAAAAAUAGUGCAUCCUUCGGACGGUUGAGUUGCUGUGGUUGCUAUAAUCAAGGCUAACGGCUUGUUCCUACUCCCUUCCU